rnacentral:rRNA from 1 species
UACGAAGGGGGCGAGCGUUGCUCGGAAUCACUGGGCGUAAAGGGUGCGUAGGCGGGUCUUUAAGUCAGGGGUGAAAUCCUGGAGCUCAACUCCAGAACUGCCUUUGAUACUGAAGAUCUUGAGUUCGGGAGAGGUGAGUGGAACUGCGAGUGUAGAGGUGAAAUUCGUAGAUAUUCGCAAGAACACCAGUGGCGAAGGCGGCUCACUGGCCCGAUACUGACGCUGAGGUGCGAAAGCGUGGGGAGCAAACAGG